UACGGAGGGGGCUAGCGUUGUUCGGAAUUACUGGGCGUAAAGCGCACGUAGGCGGAUAUUUAAGUCAGGGGUGAAAUCCCGGGGCUCAACCCCGGAACUGCCUUUGAUACUGGGUAUCUAGAGUCCGGAAGAGGUGAGUGGAAUUCCGAGUGUAGAGGUGAAAUUCGUAGAUAUUCGGAGGAACACCAGUGGCGAAGGCGGCUCACUGGUCCGGUACUGACGCUGAGGUGCGAAAGCGUGGGGAGCAAACAGG
rnacentral:rRNA from 1 species